rnacentral:rRNA from 1 species
CGUGUCGUGAGAUGUUGGGUUAAGUCCCGCAAAGAGCGCAACCCUUUUCCUUAUUUGCCAGCACUUCGGGUGGGAACUCUAAGGAUACUGCCAGUGACAAACUGGAGGAAGGCGGGGACGACGUCAAGUCAUCAUGGCCCUUACGACCAGGGCUACACACGUGCUACAAUGGUCGGUACAAAGGGUUGCUAGUCCGCGAGGACAUGCUAAUCUCAAAAAGCCGAUCGUAGUCCGGAUUGGAGUCUGCAACUCGACUCCAUGAAGUCGGAAUCGCUAGUAAUCGCGGAUCAGAAUGCCGCGGUGAAUACGUUCCCGGGCCUU